AUGAGUGUUACGUACUGUCUUCUCCGGAACCACUUGGUUCCUCCAGAUGCCAGGGCUCCCAGGACCCCCUCCCUCUCCAGGGAACCGGCUGUUUCCAUCCAGACUCUCAGGGCGGGUGAACAGGGCCAGAUGCGUAGUGCAGUAGCAGCUUUUUUUUCCAGAUACGCUGGAGCCUGGGUUUACUCUGUGUCACACGAGAUGCCCAUGUGUCUGCAAGACAGCUGGGAAGUAUCCGAAAGACAUGGGUAUCCUGUCCUUUUCAUCGCAGCCAGGUUGGGCUGGAAAAAGACCCGGAUUCCCCCCAGGGCUGAACCGGCUGGUCCUCAAACAAAAUGGCCGCCGCGCUUUCCCUUCUUCGGCCGGGAGGGCAUCUCUGCCAGGAGGUGGCACCACGAGCUCAUGUUUCCAGCAGAGACGUGUCUGACCAUUUGGUAAUCGCCCCUCAGCAUUGCAAGGAGCCUGAAAACUCGCCUAUUUUAUAGCUGCCUCUACAUAGACUUUUAAUCACGGUGCUGAUGGUGUGAUUGGAUUUUCCACUUUUCAGCUUGCUUCCAGGAGAUCAAAAUCAUCUUCCUGUGGACUGUCCUCAGUAUUUACGAAAGGGGUAAAGAGAGAAUGUGGCAAGGCCAGCUUCCCCACUGUGGUCUUUCCCUGUGCUCAGAAGCACAACUACAGACUCCAGGGAGCAUGUACUGUGGAAUUACACCUAUAAUAAGCCAUUUGCAUGCUAUUCAGGAGCACAAAUGGCCACUGAUGCUGGCAGUUGCCUCAUUGUCACCUAGAAGAUCACAGAUAGGAUUUUGAAGCCUCACAGCUCUGGCAGUGGCUAGGCUGGAGAGCUCCAGAAAAAGUGGUUAAGGGGGUCUUCUUGGGUUUCUGUGAGCAGGGUCAGUGUUGUGACGACUGAGGAGGACUUGAGCUAAAGGCAAAUAGGGCCAAAGACUGGGCUUCCCAGGUGAGGCUAGUGGUAAAGAACCUGCUUGCCAAUACAGGAGAUGUAAGAGGCCAGAUUGGAUCCCUAAGUGGGGAAGAUCCCCUGGAGAAGGAAGUAGCAACCCACUCCAGUAUUCUUGCCUGGAGAAUCCCAGGGUCCUGGUCAGGGGAGCCUGAUAGGCUACAGUUCAUAGGGUUACAGAGAGUCACCCAGGGCUAAAGUCUUAAUUUUGUCCUGGGUUUGUUAAGUGAAUUGAAGAGAGAAAUUCCCCAACUCUCUUCCACUCUGUGACUUUUCUUAAGAAAGAGGAAGGAAGAAAAGAGACGGAAUGGGAGGUGGAGUGAAAAGAAAGAUUAAUUAUGUGAAACAGUUAAUGUUUAAUUAGAUUAUCCUGCCUUUUCCCUCUUAAGAAGUGCAUAACUUUAAGCUUUAGAAAGUAGAAGAUAUAUAAAUAUAUUAUUUGGUCUUUGCUUUGAGCUCUUUCUGUCUCUUGUACAUGUGUGAGCGUUAAACAUGUAUUUGGUUGGCAGGCUAGAAAAUUAACGGGCUAAAUCAAAUUAUGUGGACUGGUUUUGACCUUUUGAAUGUUAGGUUGUCAACACUUUCUUCUCUGGGGUACAAGCCUCAACUGAACAUUUAGGAUGCAUUCAUUUUGAAAAGGAAAAAAAUUACUUUCAGACCCCAUACAAGAUUCUUUUAUCAUUUAAAAAAGAUAUGAUGAUUC
ensembl:lincRNA